GCUUGGAGACAGGUGGUGCAUGGCGGUCGUCAGCUGGGGUGGUGAGAUGGUGGAAUAAGUCCCGCAACGAGCGCAACCCUCACCCGUUGUUGGCAUCAGGUAAAGUUGGGCACUAUAGGGGAAAGGCCCCGGUCAACGGGGAGGAAGGCGGGGAUGACGUCAAGUCAUCAUGCCCCGCACUUCCUGGGCUACACACGUGGUACAAUGGCCGGUACAAAGGGAUGCAACGCCGUGAGGCAGAGCCAAACCCAAAAAGCCGGUCUAAGUUCAGAUUGGAGUCUGCAACUCGACUCCAUGAAGGAGGAAUCGCUAGUAAUAGCGUAUCAGCACGACGCGGUGAAUAGGUUGACGGGCCCAUACACACCGGCCAUCACACCACGAAAGCCAGCUGUAAUCGAAGUCGAUGAG
rnacentral:rRNA from 1 species